rnacentral:lncRNA from 1 species
GUCCAGUCCACUGUGUUCUUUGACACCGUCGCUGUCUAAGGUGAGUCCUUGGGCCAGGUCUCCUUCAAACUGUUUGCAGACAAGUUCCAAAGACAGCAGGAAACUUUUAUGCUCUGAGCACUGGAGAGAAAGGAUUUGGUUAUAAGGGUUCUUACUUUCCUAGAAUUAUUCCAGGGUUUAUGUGCUAGGGUGGGGACUUCACAUGCCAUAAUAGUAAUGGUGGCAAAUCUAACUACCAGGAGAAACUUGAUGAUGAGAACUUCAACCUGAAGCAUACAAGUCCUGGCAUCUUGCCCACAGCAAAUGGUAGACCGAAUACAAAUGGUUCCCAGUUUUUCAUCUCCACUGCCAAGACUGAGUGGUUGAAUGGCAGGUAUGUGGUCUUUGGCAAGGUCAAAGAGGCCAUGAAUGCCACAGAAGCCAUGGAGCACUUUGGGUCCAGGAAUGGCAAGACCAGCAAGAAGAUCACCAUUGCCAAAUAUGGACAACUCUAA